rnacentral:lncRNA from 1 species
UUAAAAGACACCACAAAUUUAGAAAAUAAUGGAAAAAAGAAAAAAAAACGAAAAAAAAAAAAACAAGAAACCAAUAAAAUACGAAAAAUAUAACCGUCCAACUUAUAUCGAGGAACGAAACGAGAGAGACAGAGAGAAAGACAGAGAGAGAGAAAAACAGAACGAGAAUCUAGAGGCGCGCGCGCGCGAUAAGGAUGAGAAUUGCCGGGGGUAAAAAAACGACCGGAGUAGGCGAGUGAGUGGAUGAUGAGGAGGUUUCGCGUGUUGUCGUCCCGCGAGAGAGAUGCACUGAAGAUACAACCUAGUCGACGUGUCUCGACCCGAACCGCCCCGCCAAAUACUCUGUGGUACUAAAAAUACCGACCAGCCAGGAGGAGAAUUGCUUCCAACCAAACAACGCGUCGUCCUCUAGGCAGCACUGUAGUCGACGAGGAAGGCCGCCACCUCCACCUCCACCACUGCCAUCGUCACCGUCACCGUCGCCGUCGCCGACGGUCGUGGCACGAAAAGCAUACGACGUACGGCAUUACCACCACCACAAGCAGCAACAGCAGCAAGGCCAUGGAUAGUUUCCGCGGUCUGUAUGCGAUUAAGUAUAUAAGUACAGAGAAACUUUCUCUCUCUCUCUUUCACUCCAAAAGCGAAUAAACCUCUUAAAUCCA